UACUUCGUGUGCGCGGGAGGAGCUGGUGGGCACCUUCCCAAGAGCGGGGACCUCGCCUGAGUGCUCACGGCUCCCCCUCCAGUGCCGCGCAGGGCUGGGCACAAAGCCGGCACCGACACCCUGGACACCUUGGGCUGGUCGGCGCUUCGUCUCCUGCCACCGGCUCCUCAGACCGCGCCCUCCCCGCGGACUUUUCUCCCACUUGACUUGAUCAGCACCGUCCUCCACCUGCUACUCAACGCGUGGCCCCCGGACCAGCGGCGCCAGCAUUGCAGGGGCGGCACCCGCGAGACACCGGAUCCACGGCCUCGCCACCUACGGGGUCAGAAACGGACGCCACGAGACCCCGGGGGCCUCCGUGCCAGCAGCACCGGGUCGCCAGCCCGGGCCAUUGCGCACAGGGACGCUGACGACGACUCGCCCGCGAUGGAAGAAACGGUGAGAUAACAGUGCGGGACCUGGCGACCCGCACCCGCGGCCGAGCCCGAGCGCACCGGAGCCGGAGAGAUCACAGCCCUUGCCGAGGCCGGGAUUCCGGUGGCUCAGGACGCUGAGAAAGCGCAAGUCCUUCCCGUGGUCCAGGCGUCGGGGCUCCAGCCACGUCCCCCGACCUCCGCGCGCCGAGGCCCGAAGGACCUGGGGAUCCUGGCGCGUGGUUCUCGGGGCGCUCCGGCCCUGCGGCCACCGCCGCCCUGCACGGCCCUUCCAGCCCCAAGUCCUCCCACGCGGAACGAUGCUGAGUUUCGCAAGUCCUGGGCGGGAGGAGCGUUGAGCUGUGGCUCUCAUUUGAGUCCUUUAGAACACGCUCCUUCAUGUCGGAUUCUCCCGAAGUGUCUCGGGCUGUUUUGCAGUUUUGCUGAAUCGGAUGGCAAACGCCCAGGACUGUGGGAGGGAAAUAACAGGAUGACUCGGGGAUCAUUAAUCCCAGCCUGGUGAGAGCGACGCCGGCGAGACAAGGCCAGGCCCAUCUGCCGAGCUGCCCUCUCGCAGCCUUUUACUCCAGGCGAGCGUGUUCGCUCCCUCUGCCCCUCAGCUUCAGGCCCGUUUCUGAGAAGCAAUAGGAAACUCGCAGGCCAUAAAAAACGCACAGGCCCGUCCCGAGCCCUUCCUGUGUCCUAAAAAUACAGCGCGUCCCUGCAGUAGCUAUUUUGGAAGGAGCCAGCAGAGUGUUUCCUGCAGAUGAAAGGCCCCGAGGCGCCAUAAACAGGAUCUCAGACCCGGACUCUUUUUGGAAUGAGGUCAGAGCCCCAGGGACCAGA
rnacentral:lncRNA from 1 species